GGGGCUAUGGCGCAGUUGGUAGCGCGCAAUCUUAGCAUGAUUCGGACUUGAUCCGUAUGGUCGUGGGUGGUUGAGGUCUCGGGUUCGACUCCUGAUGGCUCCA